CGACUCGUAAUGUACGAUUGUAGGUGGCCAAAUGUUAUAUUAAUGAACCAUCGUUCGUAAACAUGAAUACAUAUGGGCCGUCAAGGUCUCUGACAUAUUGUACAUAAUAAAGCUGUGUCUCAAAACCUCUAAAAUUAUUUGACAUAAAAUGGGAUAGGGUACUGACCUACCCAUAAAUCUGUAGCAAAACAUUGACACAAUGACUUAUAGACACGGUUGCACUCUGAAUGAGGUGGAGUCUUACCGAUCCUUCACUGAAUGCUAACCUCGUCUACUAUAAGGCCUCGUCAAACUGAUUGUCAAUACCUGCAGGCAUGAAUGCAGCGUCCUCAACAAAAGAACGUCAGUACGAAUAAUGUACCGAGUAUGUAAGGUGAAAUUGAAACAUAACAGUAAGUUAACAUUUAAUUAAGGACAUAGAAGAAACAUGGAGUAAAGGACUCAACCUAAAAGUCUGGAUAGCUAUGUAAAUCAUGAAAUAUUUAUAAUGUCAUGUAUAUGCAUAUGAAUAUCAUGGGAUGCAUAGGUCUGUACGUACAUAACAUCAUCAAGCCUCUGAGGGCAUCUCAUCAUAUCAUCUCAGCCACUGUGGGCAAAAUCAUCAAUGAAUACCAGCUGAUCAGGUGAUGGUGCGUAUAUAAUGCCGUAACCUUUUUCUCAUAUCCCAUAUACAUAUAUACGCGUAUAUAACGCCAUCUGGUGCCACUGUGGGCAAAAUCAUCAACGUAUACCAGUUGAUCAGGAGGUGGUGCGUAUAUAACGACAUAACCUUUUCCCAUAUCUCAUAUACAUAUAUAUACAUAUAUACGCGUAUAUAACAUCAUCUAGUCAUGAGUCAAUGUACAUGUAUAAAUGAAUGUAAUGCAUGAGAAGUACGCCAAUAAAAUCUCUUGGAAUGUCAUAAGACCAUUAUACCUUUGAUUAAUAUGAUGAAAUAAACUUUAUCAACUUACGUAUUUUCUGAGACCUAUGAACAAAUGAUAGAACAAUAUGACACAUGGGGAAUCAAGAAUAUAGGCACCUCUAAUACUUCUAAGAAUAGAGUCAUUUGUGGUUAGAGAGUCGAGUGUUUUCAUUUCUGCAUCAAACUUGAAAGCAAAACCAUUGAAAUUUGGAACUAAUGACCUUGAUUUGGACCAACUUACUGCACCAAUCCUUUCAACCCAACUAGAAAUUAGUAGUAAUCACAGGAACUUAAAUGCCUCCAACUCCACUCCACAAAAGGUCAAGAAACAAUUUAAUAGGAGAAAAGAAAGAAUAAUACCAAAAAUAUUAUAAAUAAAUAGCAGACUCUAAAAGAAGUUGUUACAUAGUAUAUCAAAAUUAGCUCAAAAAAAACCUCCAAAAAGUCAACUUUUAUCUCCUUAUGUAGUUAUAUUUAUUCAUGUGAACGAACUGAAAGGUUUUACUUUUAACGUGUUACCUUAAAUUCUAAAUUUUGUACAGUGCAAAUUACAGAGAUAAUUUAUACGAUUCAUUCAAUAAAUUUCAGGAGAAUAGAUUAUUAACAGAAUAAGCACAAAAAUAGUGAUGUCUAGAAACCAAUGAAAAUUGUACUAAAUUCCUUCAAUUUCAAAUUGUCUAGCGAUGAAUAUAUAUCAUAAUUACACUCAAAUCCACAAAUUAAUACACAUACCGCUGACAACUAGCUUUGGACUUGUAAGGGUUGAAUUAAAGCGGAUUGAAGGAAACUGUGAUUGAAGAAUUGAAGAUGAAGAUCCACUGAAAAUGCGACGGAAAAAUGCCAUUUUUGAUUGAAGGAUAUUUUGUUGGUUCCCGUCAGUUUUGCAUUUGUUGUACUUCUUUGUACGUAAAC
rnacentral:lncRNA from 1 species